CCUACGGUGGGCAGCAGUGAGGAAUAUUGGUCAAUGGGCGCGUGCCUGAACCAGCCAAGUAGCGUGAAGGAUUACUGCCCUACGGGUUGUAAACUGCUUUUAUAAUGGAAUAAACUGAGGCACGUGUGGCUUUUUGUAUGUACUUUAUGAAUAAGGAUCGGCUAAUUCCGUGCCAGCAGCCGCGGUAAUACGGAGGGUCCGAGCGUUAUCCGGAUUUAUUGGGUUUAAAGGGAGCGUAGAUGGGUUGUUACGUGAGUUGUGAAAGUGUGCGGCUCAACCGUUAAAUUGCAAUUGAUACUGGCAGUCUUGAGUACAGUUGAGGUAGGCGGAAUUCGUGGUGUAGCGGUGAAAUGCUUAGAUAUCACGAAGAACUCCGAUUGCGAAGGCAGCUUACCAAACUGCCACUGACAUUGAUGCUCGAAGGUGUGGGUAUCAAACAGGAUUAGAUACCCGUGUAGUC
rnacentral:rRNA from 1 species